AGUGGCGGAAGCAGGAAGUUGUGCAAACAACAUGGGGAAUGGAGACAACAACAAGGCGGCGGUUUCUUUACCCAAACACUCCUACUGGUUCGACUUUUGGGCUUUUCUGUUGUUCGACAUAGUCUUUUUUCUCUUCGUGUAUUUUGGAAUUCCUUAAAGGUUUGCAGAAAUCUGAGUGUUAUGGAAGGAGCGUAGAUUAUGUCUCACCUGCAUAAAUAACGACAGAUUCUGAAGGCUGUAUCCUGCAUUUGUGGCUUCAGCAGCUCUCCUCCCCACCUGAAAGUGCAUCACCAUGUCCAACACAGUACACAAUAACACAACAUUCCAUCACAGGCCUCAAUGCAUUAUUCAGGAUCCUAAUUAAAAGAAAAUAAAAUUAAUUAGUUUUAUAUAAAUAAUUACGUGGGGAAAAAUGUAAGUCUUUCAAUAAACAACUUUUUGUUAACAUUUUAA